UAGAGUUUGAUCAUGGCUCAGGAUGAACGCUGGCGGCAGGCCUAACACAUGCAAGUCGAGCGGGCACUUUCGGGUGUCAGCGGCGGACGGGUGAGUAACGCGUGGGAACGUGCCCCUUGGUACGGAAUAGCUCCGGGAAACUGGUGGUAAUACCGUAUAAGCUCUUCGGAGGAAAGAUUUAUCGCCAAGGGAUCGGCCCGCGUUGGAUUAGGUAGUUGGUGGGGUAAUGGCCUACCAAGCCGACGAUCCAUAGCUGGUUUGAGAGGAUGAUCAGCCACACUGGGACUGAGACACGGCCCAGACUCCUACGGGAGGCAGCAGUGGGGA
rnacentral:rRNA from 1 species